rnacentral:lncRNA from 1 species
UUCCCCAAAACUCUCUACCUGCCCAGGCGCUUGUCAUUCAAUCAAAGAGUUUCCUUGAGAUGGGUCGCUGUGGGUGCUGUUGUGCAUGCUCGACGCAAUUGUUCUCUUUCAUUUAAUUCCUAGAGUGAGUUGUGCUUUAGGUGAUUGAAGCUUUUUUUCCAGGGUUUGUGUUAAUUUUCGCUCAUACGGUGUGUUCAUUCUAUGUUGUGUCUAGAUAUGUUGCAUACAUAAUGGCGGAUGAUGCAUGUUUCUAUGUGCUGCAUACAUAACCGUUGGAGGAUCAGGAAACAGCUCCUGCAAAGUGCUUGAGCUAUAGUGAUAAAAAUCGUUUUUUAAUUGGUGAAUUGGUUCUGGCCUGUUUGUCUUUCUUUCUGGGAAGCUGUGGAAUUUGGGUAUCGCAACUGGUUUUCAGGAGUUUGUUGGUCAUUUCAGAGGUUUCAAAGAAACAAGAUACUGCACAGCACUUGAUUCGUCGAGCCUAUACUUUCAGGAUUUGCUAAGAAACCAGGUACAACAUUUGAUCAUGCCAUCAUGUUUUUGCUUCAUCGGAUUCAAUUUUGUUUACAUUUUAAUCGGUUCCAAGAUGCAAGCAGCAAUAUAACCUUAAUCCAUAGAUUCCAUAUAGGUGAUGGGGUUUUAUAUUAAAAAAUAAAACCACCUAUAAUUCAUCAUCUUAUGAGUGAUGGCGAUUUAUUUUUUUUGUCAUAGUGUGAUAUAAAGUUCUAGAUAUACAUAUAUAAGGCAAAAUACAGUAAAAAAUCUAGAAAUCAAUAAUGUCGGGACCGGGGAAAUUUAUUAAUUUAGAGAGUUAUUAAUUUAUCGAUAAAUCAAUAAUUAUUAAUUUAAAGAGUUUUUAACAGAUUAAACUGUACAGGGCAAACAAAAGGCAAAUUAAUCUAUACCUCUUAGAUUUACAUUGGAGCGAACCUUGGGAAUCAAAGUAAAUUAGUAACUACUGUGUUCAUAUGUUUUGGAAAUGAAUAAUGACUUUUGAAGUACUGUAUAGUGACUGUAGAUAAGAGGAAUAAAUAAGAGGAAUAAAUAAGAGGAAUAAAUGUGUUCGGUGUACAGUAUUCUUAAGUAAGUUCACGUGAGGUAUUGGAUGCAACAAGAAAACUUAUAGAUGAGCUCCAAAUAGAUUUGAACUUCAAAGAAAAAUAGGCAACUAUUGAAUAAUAUUUCAAUAGAGGGUAAUAUAUUUUUCUUCAGCUUUUAUGAAUUAUUAAUUUAUGAUUUUCUUGGAACCGAAAAAAAUAAAGGGAUCUCCCGAAAAAUUAUGAUCUUAUUAUUUUAUCUGCUUUUUCAAUUUUUUACAUUGGCCCAAGUCGGGAAUAUAUAUUUUUUUUAGAGAGUUUAUUAAUUUACCGAGUAUUAAUUUAAAGAGUUUCUACUGUACCUUUGCCUUGCCUCACCAGGUUUGUGUUGAUGUUAUAGGCUUUCUUUUGAGGGAAAAAUAAAUGAGGAUCCUAUUGCUUUUUUAUAUGGCUCAAGUAGUUCAUGUUGGCACAAAUAAUCAAUGAGAUAGGCACUUACUCGCACUGCCCAAAUAUAUAAUGCACUACCUUGGCUAUAUAAUUUUGCUCUUAUUAUAUAGUUAAUUUUAAUGUUCAGAUUCAUGAUAGAGAGUCACAUGUCUUAUAGUAGAUUAAGUAAGCAAUUUUUACAGGUUAUACUAUAUUUUACAAAAGCUAGCAAAGUAUAUGCAUCUGGUCUUUGCUUCCAUGUAUUAUUGCUUUAGUUUUCCCCUGCAUCAUAUGAAUUCCCCCCUGCUUGAACAGGUCUUUAAAACUGGUGUUGUUAUGGACGACCAGCUGGACACUGCAU